CAGCCGCCACGGUAAAACGGAGGGUGCAAGCGUUAAUCGGAAUUACUGGGCGUAAAGCGCACGCAGGCGGUUUGUUAAGUCAGAUGUGAAAUCCCCGAGCUUAACUUGGGAACUGCAUUUGAAGCUGGCAAGCUAGAGUCUUGUAGAGGGGGGUAGAAUUCCAGGUGUAGCGGUGAAAUGCGUAGAGAUCUGGAGGAAUACCGGUGGCGAAGGCGGCCAUCUGGGACAACACUGACGCUGAGGCACGAAGGCGUGGGGAGCAAACAGGAUUAGAUACCCCUGUAGUCCCUGUCUCUUAUAC
rnacentral:rRNA from 1 species